GACGAACGCUGGCGGCGUGCUUAACACAUGCAAGUCGAACGGAAAGGCCCUGCUUUUGUGGGGUGCUCGAGUGGCGAACGGGUGAGUAACACGUGAGUAACCUGCCCUUGACUUUGGGAUAACUUCAGGAAACUGGGGCUAAUACCGGAUAGGAGCUCCUGCUGCAUGGUGGGGGUUGGAAAGUUUCGGCGGUUGGGGAUGGACUGGCGGCUUAUCAGCUUGUUGGUGGGGUAGUGGCUUACCAAGGCUUUGACGGGUAGCCGGCCUGAGAGGGGGAACGGCCACAAUGGGACUGAGAUACGGACCAGACUCCUACGGGAGGCAGCAGUGGGGAAUAUUGCACAAUGGGCGGAAGCCUGAUGCAGCAACGCCGGGUGCGGGAAGACGGCCUUCGGGUUGUAAACCGCUUUCGCCUGUGACGAAGCGUGAGUGACGGUAAUGGGUAAAGAAGCACCGGCUAACUACGUG
rnacentral:rRNA from 1 species